rnacentral:rRNA from 1 species
GAUGAACGCUGGCGGCGUGCCUAAUACAUGCAAGUCGAGCGAACAGACGUGGAGCUUGCUCCUCUGACAUUAUCGUCGGAAGGGGGAGUAACACGUGGAUAACCUACCUAUAAGACUGGGGUAACUUCGGGAAACAGGAGCUAAUACAGGGUAAUAUAUUGAACCGCAUGGUUCAAUAGUGAAAGACGGUUUUGCUGUCACUUAUACAUGGAUCCGCGCCGCAUUAGCUAGUUGGUAAGGUAACGGCUUACCAAGGCAACGAUGCGUAGCCGACCUGAGAGGGUGAUCGGCCACACUGGAACUGAGACACGGUCCAGACUCCUACGGGAGGCAGCAGUAGGGAAUCUUCCGCAAUGGGCGAAAGCCGGACGGAGCAACGCCGCGUGAUUGAUGAAGGUCUUCGGAUCUUAAAACUCUGUUAUUAGGGAAGAACACAUGUGUAAGUAACUAUGCACGUCUUGACGGUACCUAAUCAGAAAGCCACGGCUAACUACGUG